CCUAAGCCCGCAACCAGUCCAUUGUAUCGAUUAUGUUGUUGUGAGUUGGUGGGAGGUAUAGUUGUUAGGAGUUUUAUGGUGUAUAGCUCAUUUGACCCAUUGAUCAUCGACACUAUUGCCAUCUCCAUACUACCGAGCCACAACCCCCCUGCCCUGAGUUCCUACCAUGUACUAGGAUGGCGAGAUAGACGAAGGCCAGAAUCUAUUUCCACAACAUUGGAACAGUGUUGUCUGAUAAUCUAUUGUUUAGUUUUUCUAUACGAUAGAAUCGAUACUUGGACGUUCUCAUGGUUUGGUGGUCUAAAAAACAAGGCCUUUUAUUUGACACUCAAUUCUAUUGCAGAUCAUGAUCUGGAGAGGCUUGCUGUGGAGACGACUGAAGGGUAUUCUGGGAGUGAUCUCAGAACCUUGCACGAGGAAGCUGCAAUGAUGCUGAUCAAAGAUCUUUGUCCACAGAAUGUUCUCACCAUCAAAGCAAGUCAGGUGCUUGUUCUGCAGUUUCUGAACUUUGGUAUACUGAACCGUCAACUUUGUUGUUUGAAAUCACUGGUAGUAUUCUCACGCGAGUGGUUCAUGGCCAAGGAUAAAGCACUAACUUUUUGCUUACCGUGUUGCAACUGCAACCAUUGAGAUUCAAAGAUUUUAACAGUGCCAUGAAGGCGAUAAGGCCGAGCUUGCAGAAGAGGAAGUGGGAUGAGAUGGAGAAAUGGAGCAAGUACGACGCAAGCUGACAGCAAUGACGCCCACAUGUUUAUCAGGCAGUUUCAGUUUGGGGUGUACAUAGAUUUCUCGUCGUGAUUAAACGGAUUGCAGUAAGUUGCAAGUGUGUCACACAGACACACACACACACAUACGCCCAUUCAGGCAUCCGAUUUGUAACAAUGUAAAAUGCUAUAGAAGGAAAACCCCUCUUCAUGAG